AGUACCCUUAGCAGGAACAUUUCAUCGUUUCCGUAUUUCAUUACUACACGUUAACUUUGAACGUAUUGAAAUGGCAGCAUAAGCCUUCGUCGUGUGCCGGUCGUUACAACGUUACCAGAGUAAAAAUAAGGUUGUACCACACUGAGAUUGUUAAGUUCAAAACCUUCAUAAUAAUUUCAAAGUAAGCAGCGAUUCCUUACAAAAGCACUUUAACAAUUGUCUAUGGAUGAUAACUAUGAUUUGAACGCACAUCCUAACUUUUUUUUUGACAUUUGUCAUCUGUCAUCUGUCAAAUUAUCAAUCUAUUGACACUGACAGGUCGGCUUUCAUAAUUAUUUGUUAAAUAUGUUUAUUGUUUUAUUGAAUUCAACGCAGUGAUAUUUAUUUGCCUACGGAUACCAACGCCAAGGCCCACGGAUGGAGAGGUCGCCAGUGGUGCCUUAAUAAGUGGAAGGAACUAGCCAAGCUCAAUAGAGAAGGGACGGCACAAGGAGUGAUAAGCAAAGGAGAAAAUUAAACAUGAAACAUAACAUUAAACAUAAAAGGUUGUCAUGACAGAUUAUCCCCUCGUCUCUCAAUGAUUUCCUAAUACCUAGGUAUGGAGUGAUUAUAAGAAUAAUACAAAGAGAAAAUGCUCCCAAAUUGCCUAAGGGGGCACAGUGAAUGGUUGAUGGUUCAGCCCUAAAAUGGAUAUGUCAGAUUGAAAGCUGCCGGUGAAUGCUAUACAUUGUAUAAUUGAUGUGAUGAGAUAUAGAAUCAGCAUGGAAAAUGUGCCUGGUACGGGGAGCCAGCCCAAUCCAGCUAUACCAGCGUAUCCUGUACCCAGCAUCACGGACCAGGCCACCGCCUGCAAGUGCACCCCUGUGAAGGCAUAAAUUAUAAGUGUGCAUUUUGAUUGCUCGGUGAAGAAUACAUUUAGGAGAAAAGAUAAAUCAUACAUUUUGUUAUACUAUGCUGAUGUUUGCAAAUGUUACAUGUACUACCUACUAAGAUAAAUAUGUUUUUUUGUAAAAUAAAGAAUAAAAAACUGUUAAACAGAAUGUAAAUAUUUUAUUUAUUUUGUGGUAAUUUCAUUUAUCCAGAACUUUAUACCCAUUAGUAAGUGGGCCCAGAAAGUUGAUGAUUUAUCAUUAAUGAAGUCUAUUAAUCCUGCCUACCAAGAGACUUAUUACCUUUAGUUAGGUUAAGUGCCAAUUUCUCCGUAGUCGCUUUGAGCAUAACCAGGGAGUAGUGGUUGAUUUUUGACACAUCUUUCGUGAAUUUUAUAUGGAUAUGACUUAUAAUUAAUAAAUCAAUCCCUGUCAGUUAGAUAACCGACUAUGGAGAAAUUGGCACUAAAGUUUAUAGUCAAUAACUAACUGUCCUUAACUAUUCUAGAGAGGGUAGAGUUCAAACACAUCUAGACAGUAGCAAUAAUGGUAUUUAUUAAUACAAUUACACAUAACUACAGUUAGGUACAUUAGAAUUUUACGAAUUAUAGCUUACAAAGCAAAACGUGAGUAAGUAUAGGUGUUUGUGUACUGUGUUGCUACUUCUUACUGCUAUUGGUGCCAUGGAUGCCAUGGAUCUCAUCCGUCACGAUGGAUUCUCGGCACUUCCAGUCUAGAAGGUAUUCAUCACGAGCUUCAAUCACCACGUCAUCACGGUCAGACACGCCAAAAUCGAGGGCCACGUAAUGCAACAUACGGCACGCUGUACUUAAUAGAUUUUGCACACUGAACAGUUGUAUAAUGGUCUUGCUCCAAACAGCGCCAUCGAUUUUCAAUCACACACAUCACAACCCUACAUUUCCCAUGAAUUUUUGUAAAUUUUGCCUCUG